GUCCACGCCCUAAACGAUGCUAACUCGAUUUUGGCGAUAUACAGUCAGAGUCCAAGGGAAACCGAUAAGUUAGCCACCUGGGGGAGUACGUUCGCAAGAAUGAAACUCAAAGGAUUGACGGGGUCGCACAAGCGGUGGAGCAUGUGGUUUAAUUCGAUGAUACGCGAGGAACCUUACCUAGGCUAGAAUGCAAUGCGACUACAAUUGAAAGGUUGUUUCUCUUCGGAGUGGAUUGCAAGGUGCUGCAUGGUUGUCGU
rnacentral:rRNA from 1 species